CAGUCGCCGCGGUAAUACGAAGGGGGCUAGCGUUGUUCGGAUUUACUGGGCGUAAAGGGCGCGUAGGCGGGCGAAUAAGUCAGGGGUGAAAUCCCAAGGCUCAACCUUGGAACUGCCUUUGAUACUGUUUGUCUUGAGUUCGAGAGAGGUAAGUGGAACUGCGAGUGUAGAGGUGAAAUUCGUAGAUAUUCGCAAGAACACCAGUGGCGAAGGCAGCUUACUGGCUCGAAACUGACGCUGAGGCGCGAAAGCGUGGGGAGCAAACAGGAUUAGAUACCCCCGUAGUCCCUGUCUCUUAUAC
rnacentral:rRNA from 1 species